GAUGAACGCCAGCGGCAGGCCUAAUACAUGCAAGUCGAGGGGCAGCAUAGUUCGCUUGCGAACUGAUGGCGACCGGCGGACGGGUGCGUAACGCGUAUGCAACCUACCCACUACUGGAGGAUAGCCCGGAGAAAUUCGGAUUAAUACUCCAUGGUACUAUUUGAUGGCAUCUGAAGAUAGUUAAAGAUUUAUUGGUAGUGGAUGGGCAUGCGUCUGAUUAGCUAGUUGGUGAGAUAAUGGCUCACCAAGGCGACGAUCAGUAGGGGGUCUGAGAGGAUGAUCCCCCACACUGGAACUGAGACACGGUCCAG
rnacentral:rRNA from 1 species